UUUUUUUCUUGUUGUUGAUUUCCAGUCGUAUAGUGUUGUGGUCAGAAAAGAUGCUUUUGAUAUGAUAUCAAUUUUCUUAAAGUUACCAAGGCUUGAUUUGUAGCCCAGGAUGUGAUCAAUGUUAGAGAAUGUUUCAUGUGCACUUGAGAAGAAUGUGUAUUCUGUUGCUUUUGGAUGGAAUGUCCUAUAAAUAUCUAUUAAGUCCAUCUGGUAAUGCUUCAUUCAGGGCCUGUGUUUCCUUACUGAUUUUCUGUCUGGAUGAUCUGUCCAUUGCUGUAAGUGGGGUGUUCAGUUCCCCCGCUAUUACUGUGUUAUUGUCAAUUUGUCCUUUUAAGGUUGUUAGCAGUUGCCUUCUAUAUUGUGGUGAUGCUAUUUUUGGUGCAUAGAUAUUUUAAAUUGUUGUAUCUUCUUCUUGGAUUGAUCCUUUGAUCAUUAUGUAGUGUCAUUUCUUGUGUCUCAAAAUACUCUUCAUUUUAAAGUCCAUUUUGUCUGAUAUGAGUAUUGCUACUUCAGCUUUCUUUUGAUUGCUGUUUGUGUGGAAUAUUUUCUUCCAUCCUCUCAAUUUGUAUGUGUCCCUAGAAGUCAAAUGGAUCUCUUGAAGACAGCAUAUAUAUGGAUCUUAUUUUUGUAUGCAUUCAGCCAGUCUAUGUCUUUCAGUUGGGGCGUUUAGUCCAUUAACAUUUAAGGUAAUUAUUGUUAUCUAUGUUCUUAUUGCCUUUUUAGUAAUUGCUUUGGAUUUGUUUUUGUUGCUCUUUUUUCUUCCCUUCUUCUCUUGUUCUCUCUUCUUCUGGUUUGAUGACUAUCUUUAGUGUUGUAUUUGAGUUAAUUUUUCUUAUUUGUUUGUGUAUCAAUUGUAGCUUUUGGGUUUGCUGUUACUCUGAAGUUUUGAUAUAAGAGUCUAUACAUAUACAAAAUUGUUUAAAAUUGUUGGUCUCUUAAUUGCAAGUGCAUCUCCAGUGUCCUGCAUUUGUACCCUCUUCUCAUUUUUAUGGCAUUUUGAUUUCUUAUUUUGGUGGCAUAAUUGUGCAUGGAUGAUUUUGUAUCUUUACUGUAUAUAUUCCUUUACUGGUGAGCUUUGCCAUUUGCGGUAUUUUUGUUUCCUGUUGUGGCCUUUUCUUUUCUGCCUAGAGAAGUUCCUUUAGUAUUUGUUGUAAAGCUGGUUUAGUGUUGCUGAAUUCUCCUAGCUUUUGCUUGUGUGAAGCUUUUGAUUUCUCCUUCAAACCUAAAUGAGAGCCUUGCUUGGUAAAGUAGUCUUGGUUGGAGGUUUUUUCCUUUCAUCACAUUAAGUAUAUCACACCACUCCCUUCUGGCCUGCAGAGUUUCUGCUGAAAAAUCUUCCAAUAAUCUUAUAAGGGUUCCCUUGUAAAUUAUUUGUUUCUUUUUCCUAGCUGCCUUCAAUAUUUUCUCUUUAGUUUUGGUAGUUUGAUUAAUAUGUGUCUCCGGGUGUUCCUUCUUGGGCUUAUUUUAUAUGGUACUCAUUGCACUUCCUGGCUUUGAGUAAGUGGUUCCUUUCCCAUGUUAGGGAAGUUUUCAACUAUUAUCUCUUUGAAUAUUUUUUUCUGUCCCUUUCUCUCUCUCUCUUCCCCUUCUUGCACCCCUAUAAUAUGGAUGUUGGCGCAUUUAACAUUGUCCCAGAGUUCUCUGAGACUCUCAUCAUUUGUUUUCAAUCUUCUUUCUCUUUUCUGUUCCACAUCACUGAUUUCUACUAAUCUGUCCUCCACCUUGCUUAUUUGUUCUUCUGCCUCCUGUAUUCUGCUGUUAGCUGCUUCUAGUGAAUUUUUUAUUUCAGUUAUUGUAUUUUGCAUCUCUUCAUGUUUAAGUUUUAUAACUUGUAUCUCUUUGCUCAGUGUUUCCUGUAAGUUAUCCAUCUUUGCCUCCAGUUUAUUCCCAAUGUCUUGCAUCAUCUUCAGCAUCAACAGCCUAAAGCCUGUUUCCUGGAGGCUGAGACUCUCCUGAUCACUUAGCUGUUUUUCUGGGUUUUUUUCUUUCUUCCUCAUCUGAGUUAUAGUUCUCCGUCUUUUCAUUUUUACAGGUUUUUGGUGUGGUGACCUUUUUACAGAUAAUAGAAUUGUAGCCUCUCUUACUUCUGGUGUCUGCCCCCUUGUGGCUGAAGUUGGCAUGGGGGCUUGCUGUAGGCUUCCUGAUGGGAGGGACUGGUGCCGCCCACUGGUAGAUGGAGCUGAUUCCUAUCCCUCUGUUGGGUGGGGCUUUGUCUCUGGGUGAGAUUAGAGGUGGCUGUAUGCCUGGGGGGUCUUUAGGCAGCCUGUUUACUGAUGCAUGGGGCUGUGAUCCCACCUGGAUUGAUGUUUGGCCUGGGGCUUCUUAGCACUGAAGGGUGGGGCCAGGUUUUCCCAAAGUGGCCACCUCCAGAGAAACACAGGCUGAUGAAUAUUCCCAAGAGCUUUGCUUCCAAUGCCCUUCUCCCACAACAAGCCACAUUCACCCCUGUUUUCCCAGGAUGUCCUCCAAGAACUGCAGUCAGGUCUGGCUCAGAUUCCUAGGGGGACUUUGCUUUGCCCUGGGACCCAGUGCACAUAAAAGUCUGUGUGAACCUUUUAAGAAUGGGGUCUCUGUUUGCCCCAGUCCCAUGGAGCUCCUGCACACAGGGCCCACUGGCCUUCAAUGCCAGAUGCUCCAAAGGUCAGAUUCUCCCAAUGCCAGAUCCCCAUGCAUGGGAACGUGAUGUGGGGCUCAGAACUCUCACUCCUGUAGGUGAGUCUCUGUGAUACAGUUACUUUCCAGUCCGUGGGGCUUCCCACCUGGGAGGUAUUGAGUUGCUUAUAUCAUGUAAUCGCUCCUCCUACCUCUUGAUGUGGCCUCCUUUUUGUCUUCUGGAGUAGGAUAUCUUUUUGAAAGUUUCAAGUUAAUUUGAUUGGAUAUUGCUCAGCAUUGGGUUGUAAUUUUGUUGUAUUUAAGAGAGAAGUUGAGCUCCAGUCCUUCUAUUCCACCAUCUUUAUCUCGUGUCCUUAAUUCAGUUCUUAUUGAAAUACAAGCAAAUAUUUUGUGGAACUUGACACACUGAUCCUGAAACUGAUCUAGCUAUGUAAAGAACUUAAAAUUAAGCACCAUAGUUUUGAAGAAAAACAAUAAGUGAGAGUGCUUUCUUUACUAGAUACCAAGUUUUAUUAUAAUGUUAUAAUAUUAAAAAACAUGUAGCAUUGAAGCAAACUUAGACAAAUAGAUUAAACAGAAUUGAAAGUCCAGAAACUCCUCCCACACAUAUGUGAUGUAUGAUUGAGGCAACAUUAGUCAUCAAUACAGAAAGGGCUUAUUCUUCAAUAAACAACUGAGUAGAAAUAUGAGAAAAAGUUAAAUAAGAUCUCUACCUCAUAGUAAACAAAAAGUAAUUUCCAUAUAUUAAAGAACCAACUGUAAAAGGCAAAGCAUAAAAUGUUUUAGAUGCUGGAUAUCUUUCAUUUGUGCCUUGUAUCAGUCCUUCCUGCAUAACACUUUAUUAAGCUCAUAAUUCUGGAUUAGCCAUUUGGGGUUGACUCAGCUGGACAGUUCUUUUCAUAACUGUGGCUGGGCUCAUCUAUGCAACUGUAGUCAGCUGCCAGUCAGCUAGGUCACUCUGCUUCUGAAUGUUGGUGGCUAAAGGCUGGGGUAAUGAGCCAGAUGUCUCUCAGCCUCCAGUAGGCUACCCAUACUUCACAAAGGUUGGGAUCUCAAAAACACAGAUCAUGGUUAUAUCAAAAACUGUUGGAGAGAAUAGCUCUAUAAGCUCCAGUGUCCACAUCUCUCAAAACUCUGCUUGCAUCAUGUUUGGUUAAUAUCCCAUCAGCCAAAAGAAGUCAUAUGGCCCAAUGAGAUUCAAGAGGUGGGGAAACAGAUUCUACCUCUUGGAGGACAUACAGAAAUGGGAAACAUUUAUGGCCAUUGUUGUAAUUUCUGAUUCUGCUUUCUGUCCCCAGAGGCUAAAUGAUACAGAUUGGAUCAACUGUCUUUCAUGAUCUUUGGUUUCCAUUUGAAUUUAGCAAAUGGGGAACUAGCACAGGGAUAAAAGGAAGGAGGAGAGUGAGAGUGAAGAUUUAUUCUCUGGUGCUGCAGCACAUUGCUGCAGACUGACUGGUCUCUGUAUCCAAAGGCCCGGCUCCAAUCAGGUGGCCUUUCUCCACAGCGCACUGUCUCAGUUCUAUGUAUGUAUAUCUAUUUCUCUCUCGCUCUAUCUAUAUCUUUCUUUCUCCCCCACCCCAGGAUAUAGCAUUAUCCUUUAUGGUUUCCCUUCACUCUCCCCAUACCUUUGUAAAUAAGCUCUCUGUUACAUUUUCCUCAAAUUACUCAAUUUCAAUGGAUUGUGUCUUUCCUGAGGGACUCUAAUUAUAUAGAAGUAAAUAUGUUGGAGUUCCUGUUGUGGCUCAGUAGUAAUGAACCCGACUAGCAUCCAUGAGGAUGGGGGUUCAAUCCCUGGCCUUGCUCAUGCAUUAAGGAUCUGGAGUUGCCAAAAGUUACAGAGUAGGUCAUAGAUGAGGUUUGGAUCCUGCGUUGCUGUGGCUGUGGUGUAGGUUGGCAGCUGCAGUUCCGAUUCAACCCCUAGACCGGGCACUUCCAUAUGCCACAGGUAGGGCCGUAAAUAAAUAAAUAAAUAAAUAAAUAAAUAAAUAAAUAAGCAAGCAAGCAAGCAAGCAAGCAAGAAAGCAUCAUGACUAUCUUUGGUCCUUUGUUUAAUCUAAGUACUUUAAGAAUCAGCUUGUCAAGUUCCACAAAAAUAAGAUCAGGAUUUUGAUUGGAAUUUUAUAGAUCAAUUUGAAGACAAACCUAUUUAGGUUUUGUCCAAUUUCUCUCAUUACAUUUUCGUGGUCACAUUAAAUAGUAUUUUUUUGUAGAAAUCUUACACAUUUUUAGAUUUAUUCCUAUAUACUUGAUAUUUCUUUAUCAUAAAUGAAACCUCUUUUUUUUAUAAUGAUUUUUAUUUUUUCCAUUAUAGCUGGUUUACAUUGUUCUGUCAAUUUUCUUCUGUACAGCAAGGUGACCCAGUCACAUAUACAUGUAUACAUUCUUUUUUCUCACAUUGUCAUUCUCCAUCAUAAGUGACUAGAUACAGUUUCUAGUGCUAUAUAGCAGGAUCUGAUUGCUUAUCCAUUCCAAAGGCAAUAGUUUUCAUCUAUUAACCCCAAAUUCCCAAUCCAUCCCACUCCUUCCCCCUCCCCCUUGGCAAUAAGUCUGUUCUCCAUGUCC
rnacentral:lncRNA from 1 species